UACGUAGGGUGCAAGCGUUAAUCGGAAUUACUGGGCGUAAAGCGUGCGCAGGCGGUUUUGUAAGUUUGUCGUGAAAGCCCCGGGCUCAACCUGGGAACUGCAUUUGAAACUACGGGGCUAGAGUGUGUCAGAGGGGGGUGGAAUUCCACGUGUAGCAGUGAAAUGCGUAGAGAUGUGGAGGAACACCAAUGGCGAAGGCAGCCCCCUGGGAUGACACUGACGCUCAUGCACGAAAGCGUGGGGAGCAAACAGG
rnacentral:rRNA from 1 species